rnacentral:lncRNA from 1 species
CCGCAACCAGAACGCGCUGCGCUCCACACAGACAAUGAAUAGUGAGCGUGUUGAAAACGGAUCUUGGACCUGUAUCUUCAGGUUGGAACUGCUCCGAGAAGAUGCUCUUUUUUGGGGGAAAUUAUAAAAGUGAUCAACUUGUUCGAUCUACCAACGGCGCUAUUAAAGAGGAUUAAAUGAAAAGUUACGCGGAGAAGUUAUUAUUAUGUUUUUGUUUUUUGGAUUAGGACGGCAGCAGUGGAUGGAUUUUAAAACUACAUUUAUGGAUCUUUCUGUCUGUUUGAAGGUAGAAAACCCCGUGUCCGGGAUUCGCGGUGUCUCUGCUCGCCCCACUCCGCGUCAUACAGUGGAAUCUCCUAGGAUACUUUGUAUACACGCGUGGCCAAAGGUGGCCAGCGCCGGUGAUGGUCCGUGUCAUUUAUGCUGUCAAGUCCUUUUAGAAAUAGAUUUGGAGUUUGGAAAUAAGAUACUCCAGAAAUUGUGCUCUGUGUUUUGGAUUGGUGUGUGUGAAGUGGCCAUCUCCAGAUCCAGCAGAUAUUCUCAUGUGAGCAGAAUAGGGUGGCUGAGUAAUGGAAACAUGAUCGUAACAUUAAACAGGCAUGGCUGCUGACAGCAAGAGCUCAUCAACUGACUGAUGUCGCUCUUAGGAUCCUAUCAGCACUUUGCACUUUGGAGAAGCAGUGACAUGAACCUAGGAUGAUGGCGGAGUGUCUUAAGCCUGACAAUCAGUUACCUCUGCAGUUGAACCAGUUGUUUGACUAAUUCUGAACUUGGAUUGAUGGAAACAGAGGACUGUCUUGUUGACACAACAUUUAUUGGCAUAUUUUUUUAAUAAUCCUGUCAAGAUGUUAGUUCUCACCCUGAUUUAUAACUUUCCAGCCUUUGUUGUCUGCUAGCAGAAAUGAAAACAAAAGAAAAAAACCUGUAUCCAAUCUGCCGUCUGUUUGUUUUGCAUUGCAGCUGCAGAUUUGUGUGAUUAAUAACUGAUGGAAUCUGCUCAUGAUGUUCGUUAUGUGUCUGCUGUUAUUGUUAGUCUAGUCUGGUUUCACUAGUUAGGCCACUUUCUGCCAUUCAUAGAAAUGCAUAACUUGUCUCUUUUUAAUUUCCUGUUUAGGUUAGGAGAAGCAGAGUAAAACGUGAAGUAAGAAUGUGGCACAAAUUGGUUUGUUUUUUUUCCACUGAAACCAGUUUAGUUAAUGUCAAAGAGAAUUACAAAAAUGUUGACCCUUCCAUCACAGGGACUUUUGUAGAUGACACUGAUAAAAGAUGAUAUCAUGGAAAAGUUCAUUAUCCUACUGACCUAUGUACAAUAACAUAGACUGUGUUACAAGCUUAAACUGGAUGGGGAUUUUUUCAACUAUACUGUGGAUAAAAAUACCCACAGCUCUUAUUUCUUCAGAAAGAUAUUCCAGCGUACGCAUUCUUACUUGUACAUUAGUCUGAAAGCACCAAGUCAGUCUUAGACUCAGUGGAGUUUAUACUUUGUAACACUGAUUU